rnacentral:lncRNA from 1 species
AGAUUCUCAUUCCUGAAGUCUGGCUUUACUGGAAUUGGACAACAUGGAAGAACCUAAGCUGAGACGAGUCCCGUUUGCCAGAGUAAAGGACACGACAGGAGCAUCUUUCCUGAGGAAGGACAUCUGUCACCUGUGCUAAGAGAACUCCAAGAGAGCAAACAAACCCAAUGACACUUUUUGGGAAAUUGUUGGAGUUUGGGACCUGAUUCACAGCCUGGUAAGAAAAAUG